UCGGAUGUGGUGUACGGAGCACCGCCAGACUGUCUUCAUUGUGAUGUGCUCGCGUUUCUGGUGGUCCGGGGUUCGACUCCCCGCGUCCGAG